CCUUUGGAGAGUUAUAUUAAACGAAAGUAGCUACGGCAAAAUCGGAUUCUAUGAAGAAGGAA
rnacentral:sRNA from 23 species